rnacentral:rRNA from 1 species
UACAGAGGUCUCAAGCGUUGUUCGGAUUCAUUGGGCGUAAAGGGUGCGUAGGCGGCGCGGUAAGUCGGGUGUGAAAUCUCGGAGCUUAACUCCGAAACUGCAUUCCAUACUGCGGUGCUUGAGGACUGGAGAGGAGACUGGAAUUUACGGUGUAGCAGUGAAAUGCGUAGAGAUCGUAAGGAAGACCAGUGGCGAAGGCGGG